rnacentral:rRNA from 1 species
GAUGAACGCUGGCGGCGUGCCUAAUACAUGCAAGUCGAGCGAACGGACGAGAAGCUUGCUUCUCUGAUGUUAGCGGCGGACGGGUGAGUAACACGUGGAUAACCUACCUAUAAGACUGGGAUAACUUCGGGAAACCGGAGCUAAUACCGGAUAAUAUUUUGAACCGCAUGGUUCAAAAGUGAAAGACGGUCUUGCUGUCACUUAUAGAUGGAUCCGCGCUGCAUUAGCUAGUUGGUAAGGUAACGGCUUACCAAGGCAACGAUGCAUAGCCGACCUGAGAGGGUGAUCCUCCACACUGGAACUGAGACACGGUCCAGACUCCUACGGGAGGCAGCAGUAGGGAAUCUUCCGCCAUGGGCGAAAGCCUGACGGAGCAACGCCGCGUGAGUGAUGAAGGUCUUCGGAUCGUAAAACUCUGUUAUUAGGGAAGAACAUUUGUGUAAGUAACUGUGCACAUCUUGACGGUACCUAAUCAGAAAGCCACGGCUAACUUCGUG